GACGAACGCUGGCGGCGUGCUUAACACAUGCGAGUCGAACGGAAAGGCCCCUUUGGGGGUUCUCGAGUGGCGAACGGGUGAGUAACACGUGAGUAACCUGCCCUUGACUUCGGGAUAACUUCAGGAAACUGGGGCUAAUACCGGAUAGGAAUCCUUGCUGCAUGGUGGGGGUUGGAAAGCUUCGGCGGUUUUGGAUGGACUCGCGGCUUAUCAGCUUGUUGGUGGGGUAGUGGCUUACCAAGGCUUUGACGGGUAGCCGGCCUGAGAGGGCGACCGGCCACAUUGGGACUGAGAUACGGCCCAGACUCCUACGGGAGGCAGCAGUGGGGAAUAUUGCACAAUGGGCGGAAGCCUGAUGCAGCAACGCCGCGUGCGGGAUGACGGCCUUCGGGUUGUAAACCGCUUUCAGCAGGGGCGAAGCUUGUGGUGACGGUACCUGCAGAAGAAGCACCGGCUAACUACGUG
rnacentral:rRNA from 1 species